rnacentral:rRNA from 1 species
GGCUCAGAUUGAACGCUGGCGGCAUGCCUUACACAUGCAAGUCGAACGGCAGGCACGGGGGCAACCUGGUGGCGAGUGGCGAACGGGUGAGUAAUGCAUCGGAACGUGCCAUUGAGUGGGGGAUAACGUAGCGAAAGUUGCGCUAAUACCGCAUAUUCUGUGAGCAGGAAAGCAGGGGACCGCAAGGCCUUGCGCUCUUUGAGCGGCCGAUGUCAGAUUAGCUAGUUGGUGAGGUAACGGCUUACCAAGGCGACGAUCUGUAGCGGGUCUGAGAGGAUGAUCCGCCACACUGGAACUGAGACACGGUCCAGACUCCUACGGGAGGCAGCAGUGGGGAAUUUUGGACAAUGGGCGCAAGCCCGAUCCAGCCAUGCCGCGUGAGUGAAGAAGGCCUUCGGGUUGUAAAGCUCUUUCAGCAGGAACGAAACGGUGGCCACUAAUACUGGCUACUAAUGACGGUACCUGAAGAAGAAGCACCGGCUAACUACGUG